rnacentral:rRNA from 1 species
GACGAACGCUGGCGGCGUGCUUAACACAUGCAAGUCGAACGGUGAAGGGAUCAGCUUGCUGGUUCUGGAUGACUGGCGAACGGGUGAGUAACACGUGAGUAACCUGCCCCCUUCUUCUGGAUAACCGCAUGAAAGUGUGGCUAAUACGGGAUAUUCUGCGCCUGCUGCAUGGUGGGUGUGGGAAAGAUAUUGUUUCGGUGGGGGAUGGGCUCGCGGCCUAUCAGCUUGUUGGUGGGGUGAUGGCCUACCAAGGCGGUGACGGGUAGCCGGCCUGAGAGGGUGGACGGUCACACUGGGACUGAGACACGGCCCAGACUCCUACGGGAGGCAGCAGUGGGGAAUAUUGCACAAUGGGCGCAAGCCUGAUGCAGCGACGCCGCGUGAGGGAUGGAGGCCUUCGGGUUGUGAACCUCUUUCGCCAGUGAAGCAGGCCUGUCCCUUGUGGGUGGGUUGACGGUAGCUGGAUAAGAAGCGCCGGCUAACUACGUG